GCAGUGGUGGUUUAGGGGUAGAACUCUCACCUUCCAUGCGGGAAACCUGGGUUUGAUUCCUGGCUAAUGCA
rnacentral:tRNA from 1 species